AUAUUUUUGCAACACAUGGAGUGUUUACAGUUCAUCUAAUACAUCAAUGUCCACAUCUGUAUGCUCAUCAUUUAGUCUCUUUAUAUUAUGAGUCUCAGCUACUGUUGCAUGCUUGAGUGUAUUAUACAUUAAACAGAAUUAUAAUUAUGUUGCAUGCAGUUUGUCCUACUAUAGGUAUCUGAAGUACAAGGCUUGCAUGCUCAGUGUUGUUGUUAUCUAAUUGAACUCAAUUUCUUUAAUGCAUGCAACAGCUGAAAAUCAUACCUCACCAUGCUGAGUGAAACAUUGUGUUGCAUGUUCUGUUAAUAGUAUGUAGAUCACAGGAUUGAAAUAACAUGUAUUAGUGAUGGGCCUGAAUCCAAUCCCCUGAUACUAAUCCCCUCCCUGAACUUCCUGGGGCUGAACAAUUUGAAACUAGAUCCUGACUGAAACUUUUUAGAUGGAGCCUACCUUUACAAGGAACUAAAUCAAAAGUUUAAGUGUGCACUUUUUCUCCCAUGUUUCAGAACUGGCCUCAGGUCCACCAUUAAUUUAUGUGGAUGCUCACUAGAUGCAGUAUUUCUUUAAACUGUAUUUAUCUUCUUUGCAGAAACUCAUUAUCAACAAGGAUCCCCAAGAGAAAGCCAUUGGAAGAGAAGAAUGGUUCCAUUAUAGCUUAUGAAGAAAGUUAGAUCCAUCACAUUUAAAGAAGCUUGUUUGCAAGAAACAAUGCGUGAAGCUGAAAGGAAGAGAAAGAGGAAUGGCUUUCUCUCUCACCAUAUAAGUUUACUACAACCUGGCUACCAGACCUGUUAUUGCAGGCUUAUUCUACAAACCCUCCCUUCUUCAUGCUUUCCGUGACCUGUGCAGGCAGGCUAGUUUACAUUCUUCUGGUUCAACUCCACUGUAAGCAUUGCCUACCAUGCCAUUUUUCUGAGUCGGCUCACCUCCAUGUGACUGCCUCCAGGGGCUCACUCUGCCAGUCAUAUCCCUAGGACCAUUCCCACCUGCCCAACACUACUUCUUUUCACCAGCCUUUGAGCAUUGUGUUCUCUACUCUCCAUUCUGUUUUCAUGAGCUACUUUUUUAACCCCCAGCCUUACCAGGCCAAUUUACUUUGCCCCUCAGCCUUUAAAGUGUCACUACAUGUAGUAUGUACGAGCUAGCCUUUUUGGCUUCUUAACUGCUUGUGUUGUAAAUGAACAAACACUAUUCUGAGUAUUAAAUGUAUUUGUGAAAACUUA